rnacentral:lncRNA from 1 species
CUGAUGUCGGAGUCUCGGGUGUUCCUUCUGGUCUCGCUCCCGACUUGAGGAGGCAGAUUUCAACAUGGAGCAGCAGGACUGGAAAGAUGGCUCCUAUCUAUUCCAAAUAACUCCAAUAUCGCCUCAAGUGAAGAGGAAAGCCUCAUAUUUCAAGGCCACUGACUGGAACCCAUUCACAUGCCACAGGGAGACGGAUGCCGUUGUUUUUUUUACGGCAAAGGAAACAGUGAUGUAUUGGAGUCUCAUCACCCCGUCUCUCCAUCAUCACAAGCCAGUCUGGCUUGUGUAGCACGAUUAAAAUGUUAUGUCUCCCAGUGAGCUAGUAAAUAUCAACACUUUCUCUC